rnacentral:rRNA from 1 species
GAUGAACGCUGGCGGCGUGCCUAAUACAUGCAAGUAGAACGCUGAAGGAGGAGCUUGCUCUUCUGGAUGAGUUGCGAACGGGUGAGUAACGCGUAGGUAACCUGCCUGGUAGCGGGGGAUAACUAUUGGAAACGAUAGCUAAUACCGCAUGACAACAGUUAUUGCAUGAUAACUGUUUAAAAGGGGCAACUGCUCCACUACCAGAUGGACCUGCGUUGUAUUAGCUAGUUGGUGAGGUAACGGCUCACCAAGGCGACGAUACAUAGCCGACCUGAGAGGGUGAUCGGCCACACUGGGACUGAGACACGGCCCAGACUCCUACGGGAGGGAGCAGUAGGGAAUCUUCGGCAAUGGACGGAAGUCUGACCGAGCAACGCCGCGUGAGUGAAGAAGGUUUUCGGAUCGUAAAGCUCUGUUGUAAGAGAAGAACGAGUGUGAGAGUGGAAAGUUCACACUGUGACGGUAUCUUACCAGAAAGGGACGGCUAACUACGUG